UACAAAAUCAGCUUUCUACGUCAGGACUUCUACGCCGGUUGCAAAGAACCGUCGUAGAAGGUGAAUCGGUGGCAUGUUUGUAAUUAAGCGCAUGAGAACGACGACGUUUGCCGUUACCCGUCGUAGACAUCCAGCUGUUGUGGCAUUUCGUAAUUAGGUGGGUAAGUUACAAAGACGGUUUUUGGUGAAUAACCGUCUUUGUAUCGUUAAUGGUAGCACGGGGCAACCACCUGAGUCGGCCCACCAGAAUACAAAGACGGUGGUCUGGUGAGACCGUCUUUGUUUUUAAAGUACUUUCACGUGCCAGCCACGUGAUUUGAGGAUUCAAAAUCCAAAGACGGUUGUAUCCAGAUACCCGUCUUUGGAUUGUUGGUGGUUUCACGUGUAGGCCACGUGAUUGGAGGCGUUCAAGUACCACGACGGUCCUCUCGAACACCCGACUUUGUAUCGUUAAUGGUUUCACGUGGAGGCCACGUGAUUGGAGCCAUUAAAGUACAAAGACGGUCUUUGGCCAAAAGCCGUCUUUGUAUGGUUACAGUAUAAACACGUAAUCAUCUUCGUCAUUUAGUUACGAAGACGGUCUUGCCCUAGACCCGUCUUCGUAUUUAAUGCGUCAACAUACAAAGACGGGUUUGUUAGAAGAGCCGUCGUUGUAUGUUUUGUACAGACACGUGGCGGGCGUCAUUCAAAGACGGUCUUUUCUAGGACCCGUCAUUGUAUCCCAAAUUGUAUCACGUUUACGGCACGUGCUUGUUACUUUCUCUUACUUUGGCGCGCCGUAUCACUUCUUUGCUCCAUUUUUCGACUACUUGCCCUUACUUUGGCGCCCUAGCUACACAGACCUUCUUCUCCGACAAAGAGCUUCGUCUCCGACAAACAGCAUCUCGUGUCCGUUGCCUGUUGUUCCGUUUGCAGCCGCCGCCGACAAAGGCCCUUUGUUGUUGUUGGUUGUCUUCAUCGUGGUGUACAUCAUAGUGUUUAAGGAAGAUAAGGUGGUUCCAUAAGUGGGGUUUAAAAUCCAAAGACGAGCUUCGGGAACGGCCUGCUGCCAUCCUUCAUCAGUGGUGUCAUCCUGUGCCACAUUAUCAGUUUCGUUGAGCAUCGUUUGGUCUAUUGUGCAAGUUAGUACACUGAACUUCAUGAAACCCCCUAUGUUUAAUUUGAGCUUUAGAUUUGCUGUCUCCAUCCUUAGUUAUGUCUGUAAUUGAAUAAACUCGAAUUAUUUAUAAUGAAACAUCAACAUGUCCACUUUGAGACAUCUCAGCAAAUUAAAAUAAUAAUAAUGAAACAUCUCAACAAUUUUUUCAGGAUUGAGGGGGUGAAAAGUUCAAUUCUAGACAAAACAUAUAUAUAGACUGACACAGUUCUGAAGAGUUGUCAAUAAACGAUAACCCUACCACGUAUUGUAAUAUCUAUAAAGUAUAAACACAUUUAACGAAUAUACAUGUACCCUAAAAUUAAAAUCAAACUACAGUAGCGCAAAUAUAUAUACCUUCUUGCUUGUCUCUCAACUUCAACCAGGGUCAAUUAUGGGAAAGUCCAUCAUGCCUGCGCCAUAUUGAUCUCAAUAAUUCAAGGAAAAACCUAUAUUUUUCCAACCCUUGGAUUUCCUUCAGUCUAAUUUCACAUAUAAAUACUAUUACUCAAUUAGUAAUGGAAACAAUAUGGAGGACAUGCUGUAAAUCAUUGUCACUGCUUGUCUACCUAGAAGCUCUUCCCAGUGUUACUUUCAAAUCUUGCUUUCUUUGCAUCCAUUGUUGAGCGAAUAUAAGAGCCAUCAACCUGAACAACCGAGCUGGGAAUUAUUAGUUGUGAGGAACUUUCCCUAUUAUGACUCGCAUGGGCAUGAUCAUAAUCUAUGUAAGGAGGAUUGUAGCAAUCCAAAAGAGUUGCAGUAGUUUUAGUUAUUGAUGUAUUUGUGCUGUCUUGGACACUUCCAUCCAAAAGAGAAUUAUCUUUUCUUUCUGCAGCCACUUUCUCUGUACAAAAUCAAUCCAAUUCCUCCUUCAUUUUCUCAGUACCCUCAUUUAAUCAUUUUUCGUGCUCUCACAUACAGCCUGUUUGCCUGCCACACUCUAACACAUUCUACCUACCCCAAAAGUUCUGCGACUAAUUCUCUAACCCCCCAAAGCACCAAACUGAUCAAAAGAUUUGGUGAACAAAACAAACAAGUUGUACUUGGUAACCAUAUCCUUCCUUCUUCUACUUCUUCAAUCUGUUACAUCUCAAUUUGUUACACCUCUUAACUUUGAUGGGAUUCACCUGCUUAAAUUCAAAUACUCCAUCCUCAGCGACCCAUUAUCAGUCUUAAAGAACUGGAACUACGACGAUGUAACACCUUGUUCAUGGCAUGGUGUUGCAUGCAUGCAGUGAAAUUGGAGCCCCUGGUACCCCUGACUUUUUCAGAGUAACUAGCUUGGCCCUUCCCAAUAGCCAGCUUUUGGGUUCCAUUUCUGAAGACUUAGGCUUGAUCCAAUACCUUCGCCACAUUGAUCUUUCCAACAACUUCCUCAAUGGCUAUCUACCCAACACUAUCUUCAACUCUUCUGAACUUCAUGUACUUUCCCUCUCAAACAAUGUUAUCUCCGGUGAACUACCUCAGCUAAUUGGUAAAAUGACAAACCUUAAACUUCUCAACCUCUCCGACAAUGCCUUUGGCGGUUUGAUCCCAG